GUGAGGAAUAUUGGUCAAUGGGCGGAAGCCUGAACCAGCCAAGUCGCGUGAGGGAAGACGGUCCUAUGGAUUGUAAACCUCUUUUGUCGGGGAGCAAGGAUCCGCACGAGUGCGGAGGCGAGAGUACCCGAAGAAAAAGCAUCGGCUAACUCCGUGCCAGCAGCCGCGGUAAUACGGAGGAUGCGAGCGUUAUCCGGAUUUAUUGGGUUUAAAGGGUGCGUAGGCGGCAUUUCAAGUCAGCGGUAAAAUUGAGAGGCUCAACCUCUUCGAGCCGUUGAAACUGGAGUGCUUGAGUGGGCGAGAAGUAUGCGGAAUGCGUGGUGUAGCGGUGAAAUGCAUAGAUAUCACGCAGAACUCCGAUUGCGAAGGCAGCAUACCGGCGCUCAACUGACGCUGAGGCACGAAAGCGUGGGGAUCGAACAGG
rnacentral:rRNA from 1 species